GUGCUCACUUUGGCAACACACGGACAAAAAUUAGAACGACACAGAGAAGAUUAGCAUGGUCCCUGUGCAAGGAUGACACUCAAAUUCAUGAAGCGUUCCACAUAGGG